rnacentral:rRNA from 1 species
AGCGGCAGGCCUAACACAUGCAAGUCGAGGGGUAACAUAGAGAAGCUUGCUUUUCUGAUGACGACCGGCGCACGGGUGCCUAACGCGUAUGCAACCUACCUCUUACUGGAGGAUAUCCCGAAUAAAUUCGGAUUAACACUCCAUAGUAUUAUCAUUUCGCAUGAUUUUGAUAAUUAAAGGUUACGGUAAGAGAUGGGCAUGCGUCCCAUUAGCUAGAUGGUAAGGUAACGGCUUACCAUGGCAACGAUGGGUAGGGGGCCUGAGAGGGUGAUCCCCCACACUGGUACUGAGACACGGACCAGACUCCUACGGGAGGCAGCAGUGAGGAAUAUUGGUCAAUGGAGGCAACUCUGAACCAGCCAUGCCGCGUGCAGGAAGAAUGCCCUAUGGGUUGUAAACUGCUUUUAUUUGGGAAUAGACCUUUCUACGUGUAGAAAGCUGAAGGUACCAAACGAAUAAGCACCGGCUAACUCCGUGCCAGCAGCCGCGGUAAUACGGAGGGUGCAAGCGUUAUCCGGAAUCAUUGGGUUUAAAGGGUCCGCAGGCGGACUGAUAAGUCAGUGGUGAAAUCCCGUAGCUUAACUACGGAA